rnacentral:tRNA from 2 species
GCCCAGAUAGCUCAGUUGGUAGAGCAUGCGACUGAAAAUCGCAGUGUCCCUGGUUCGAAUCCAGGUCUGGGCA